rnacentral:pre_miRNA from 1 species
AUUAUACUCCCUCCGUCCGAAAAUACUUGUCAUCAAAAUGGACAAAAAAAAAGAUGUAUCUAGAACUAAAAUACAUCUAGAUACAUCCCCUUUUAUUCAUUUUGAUGACAAGUAUUUCCGGACGGAGGGAGUAGUCA